rnacentral:rRNA from 1 species
CUUUAAAAGCGCACAGCUCUCGAGAUAAUUUAAUACAAUAAUUUUUAUGAGCCCACUUCGGUAUCAAGCAAUUCUAUAUAGUUAUAGAAAUUUUUAUGUUAAAACUAGUAACAAGAAGAAAACCUUCUCCUAAUGCAAGCGUAAAUCAGGAAGGAUAUACCACUGAUAAUUAACAUCCCUGAACCCACAGUAGCAACCACACAAGAAAACUCUACCACAUUCUAUGUUAACCUAACACAAGAGCAUUACAGGAAAGAUUAAAAGAGAAAGAAGGAACUCGGCAAACUUUAACCCCGCCUGUUUACCAAAAACAUCGCCUCUUGACCAAUUAUAAGAGGUCCAGCCUGCCCAGUGACUCUGUUCAACGGCCGCGGUAUCCUAACCGUGCGAAGGUAGCGUAAUCACUUGUUCUUUAAAUGAGGACUAGUAUGAAUGGCACCACGAAGGUUAUACUGUCUCCUUUCUUUAAUCAGUGAAACUAAUCCCCCCGUGAAGAAGCGGGGAUAAAUAUAUAAGACGAGAAGACCCUAUGGAGCUUUAAACAAGUAACAACUGCCUUAUUAAUCUCUUAAUCUCAGGAGAUUUACCCCUUAUUCAGGCAUUUUGAUUACAAGUUUUAGGUUGGGGUGACCGCGGAGCAUAAAAUAACCUCCACAGUGAACGGGACUCAUUCCCUAAACCAAGGGCUACAACCCUAAGCAUCAAUAAAUUGACACCDAUGACCCAAUAUUUUGAUCAAUGAACCAAGUUACCCUAGGGAUAACAGCGCAAUCCACUUCAAGAGCCCCUAUCGACAAGUGGGUUUACGACCUCGAUGUUGGAUCAGGAU